CGCGUGCCUAAUACAUGCAAGUCGAACGAACUCUGGUAUUGAUUGGUGCUUGCAUCAUGAUUUACAUUUGAGUGAGUGGCGAACUGGUGAGUAACACGUGGGAAACCUGCCCAGAAGCGGGGGAUAACACCUGGAAACAGAUGCUAAUACCGCAUAACAACUUGGACCGCAUGGUCCGAGUUUGAAAGAUGGCUUCGGCUAUCACUUUUGGAUGGUCCCGCGGCGUAUUAGCUAGAUGGUGGGGUAACGGCUCACCAUGGCAAUGAUACGUAGCCGACCUGAGAGGGUAAUCGGCCACAUUGGGACUGAGACACGGCCCAAACUCCUACGGGAGGCAGCAGUAGGGAAUCUUCCACAAUGGACGAAAGUCUGAUGGAGCAACGCCGCGUGAGUGAAGAAGGGUUUCGGCUCGUAAAACUCUGUUGUUAAAGAAGAACAUAUCUGAGAGUAACUGUUCAGGUAUUGACGGUAUUUAACCAGAAAGCCACGGCUAACUACGUGCCAGCAGCCGCGGUAAUACGUAGGUGGCAAGCGUUGUCCGGAUUUAUUGGGCGUAAAGCGAGCGCAGGCGGUUUUUUAAGUCUGAUGUGAAAGCCUUCGGCUCAACCGAAGAAGUGCAUCGGAAACUGGGAAACUUGAGUGCAGAAGAGGACAGUGGAACUCCAUGUGUAGCGGUGAAAUGCGUAGAUAUAUGGAAGAACACCAGUGGCGAAGGCGGCUGUCUGGUCUGUAACUGACGCUGAGGCUCGAAAGUAUGGGUAGCAAACAGGAUUAGAUACCCUGGUAGUCCAUACCGUAAACGAUGAAUGCUAAGUGUUGGAGGGUUUCCGCCCUUCAGUGCUGCAGCUAACGCAUUAAGCAUUCCGCCUGGGGAGUACGGCCGCAAGGCUGAAACUCAAAGGAAUUGACGGGGGCCCGCACAAGCGGUGGAGCAUGUGGUUUAAUUCGAAGCUACGCGAAGAACCUUACCAGGUCUUGACAUACUAUGCAAAUCUAAGAGAUUAGACGUUCCCUUCGGGGACAUGGAUACAGGUGGUGCAUGGUUGUCGUCAGCUCGUGUCGUGAGAUGUUGGGUUAAGUCCCGCAACGAGCGCAACCCUUAUUAUCAGUUGCCAGCAUUAAGUUGGGCACUCUGGUGAGACUGCCGGUGACAAACCGGAGGAAGGUGGGGAUGACGUCAAAUCAUCAUGCCCCUUAUGACCUGGGCUACACACGUGCUACAAUGGAUGGUACAACGAGUUGCGAACUCGCGAGAGUAAGCUAAUCUCUUAAAGCCAUUCUCAGUUCGGAUUGUAGGCUGCAACUCGCCUACAUGAAGUCGGAAUCGCUAGUAAUCGCGGAUCAGCAUGCCGCGGUGAAUACGUUCCCGGGCCUUGUACACACCGCCCGUCACACCAUGAGAGUUUGUAACACCCAAAGUCGGUGGGGUAACCUUUUAGGAACCAGCCGCCUAAGG
rnacentral:rRNA from 2 species